rnacentral:rRNA from 1 species
GACGAACGCUGGCGGCGUGCUUAACACAUGCAAGUCGAACGGAAAGGCCCUGCUUUUGUGGGGUGCUCGAGUGGCGAACGGGUGAGUAACACGUGAGUAACCUGCCCUUGACUUUGGGAUAACUUCAGGAAACUGGGGCUAAUACCGGAUAGGAGCUCCUGCUGCAUGGUGGGGGUUGGAAAGUUUCGGCGGUUGGGGAUGGACUCGCGGCUUAUCAGCUUGUUGGGGAGGUAGUGGCUUACCAAGGCUUUGAAGGGUAGCCGGCCUGAGAGGGUGACCGGCGACAUGGGGCCUGAGAGACGGCCCAGACGCGUACGGGCGGCAGCAGGCGGGAAUAUUGCACAAUGGGCGGACGUCAGAGGCGGAAACGUCGCGUGCGUGAUGACGGCCUUCGGGGGGUAAACCGCUUUCGCCUGUGACGAAGCGGGAGUGACGGUAAUGGGUAAAGAAGCAACGGCUAACUACGUG